rnacentral:rRNA from 1 species
CCCCAGACUCCUACGGGAGGCAGCAGUGGGGAAUAUUGCACAAUGGGGGAAACCCUGAUGCAGCGACGCCGCGUGAGCGAUGAAGUAUUUCGGUAUGUAAAGCUCUAUCAGCAGGGAAGAAAAUGACGGUACCUGACUAAGAAGCCCCGGCUAACUACGUGCCAGCAGCCGCGGUAAUACGUAGGGGGCAAGCGUUAUCCGGAUUUACUGGGUGUAAAGGGAGCGUAGACGGCUGUGCAAGCCAGAUGUGAAAGCCCGGGGCUCAACCCCGGGACUGCAUUUGGAACUGUGUGGCUGGAGUGUCGGAGAGGCAGGCGGAAUUCCUAGUGUAGUGGUGAAAUGCGUAGAUAUUAGGAGGAACACCAGUGGCGAAGGCGGCCUGCUGGACGAUGACUGACGUUGAGGCUCGAAAGCGUGGGGAGCAAACAGGAUUAGAUACCCGAGUAAA